UGGGGAAUCUUGGACAAUGGGGGAAACCCUGAUCCAGCAACGCCGUGUGAGUGAUGAAGGUCUUCGGAUUGUAAAGCUCUGUUAGCCGGGAAAAAACUCGUGAGCAUCAGAUCCUCACGAUUGAUGGUACCGGCAGAGGAAGCACCGGCUAACUCUGUGCCAGCAGCCGCGGUAAUACAGAGGGUGCGAGCGUUAUUCGAAAUUAUUGGGCGUAAAGCGCAAGUAGGUGGUGAGAUAAGUCUUGUGUGAAAUACUCGGGCUCAACCCGAGAGGGUCAUAGGAAACUGUCUCGCUAGAGUGCAAUAGGGGAGAGCGGAAUUCCCAGUGUAGUAGUGAAAUACGUAGAUAUUGGAGGAACACCGGUGGCGAAAGCGGCUCUCUGGAUUGUUACUGACACUCAGUUGCGAAAGCGUGGGGAUCAAACAGGAUUAGAUACCCAUGUAGUCCCUGAGCGGGCUGGCAAGGCGCAU
rnacentral:rRNA from 1 species